UUCUCUGCAGCCCACAUAAUGCCAUUAAGAAAUCACACAGAAAGAAGUGCUUGGGAUUAAAGCACACACAGAGAAGAGGAAAAAAAAAAGGACUGAAGCAGCUGAGUGGCAUGCAAACCCAAGCUGCAGCUAAUAUCACCGAUGCCAUCCUAUGCCAACCUCACACUGACUUCCUCUCUCAUGGCAAAUGAAGCUUGGCAAUAUUGCUAAUUGCAGUAGAUUUACACUGUUUCCCUGCAAUGUGGGAGGCAAAGGGAAAAGCUGCUUAGCAGCAUCCUGAUGGAUAUACACUGACAUUUGCAGUCUGUUGCCAUGGUCGCCCUGGGACUUUUGUUUUGAAAAGGGAUUUUUUUUUUCAUGCUUCUAUCAGAUGACGUCAUGGAUGUCCAUGGAUGUGACAGGCCACCUUUGGUUGGAGGUUUAAAGAGACAGCCUCCAGCUGCAACACUAGCCCUGGCUAUUGUCUCAGAUGCUGAUAUAAAGAUGGGGGACAAUUCUUUUCCCUAGCUCAGUUCCCCAGAGCUCUUGACUUAGCACUACCUUGAUGAAGACAGACAAGUUAGCAUUGCCACAUUUUACCAAGUGCCUCGUGUGAAGAAGAACAUUCCUCCUGCACCUCCUCUAUUAGAGAGUAUCAAGUCAAAUCCUCUUUGCCUAAAGAAGCACAAAGCAGCCAAUAGAACAAGAUUACAGCUGGCAAGAGGACGGAAGUCCACAGAAAACUUUUAAGAAGGACGCAGACAGCUCCAAAAAGAAUAAGAUUUUUCUAGGCUGAGCGCAAAGACACUGCCCAAGAGAAAAACAUCUAGCAAGAAUAAGAUGAGAGACUGUCAAGAGAAGAAAUGACAACCUGUUUUCUUUGGAGAAAACACUUCUAAGGUCUGUGCUCUUUUAACAGCUACUUAUGAAAGUUAAACUAAAAAAA